GACCUAAAUCGAUUUUUAUGUUUGUUCUGCUUUUAAUUGUUUCUGGAAAAGUGAUUUGUAGUCCAAAGUGGCUUUCUGUGUUAUAGGUGCUAUGUUAUAUAAUACUGUUCUUACUAAAAGGUCAUUAUUUACUUAUUUAUGAUAGUCACAGAGAGAGAAAGAGAGAGAGGCAGAGACACAGGCAGAGGGAGAAGCAGGCUCCAUGCACCGGGAGCCCGAUGUGGGAUUCAAUCCCGGGUCUCCAGGAUCGCGCCCCAGCCAAAGGCAGGCACCAAACCGCUGCGCCACCCAGGGAUCCCCUAAAAGGUCAUUUUUGCUUGUUUUGAUUUUUUAAAAAAUUUCGGAUCCAGGUUAUGUUUAUUUUAAUUUUUCAUUUUAUUUCUUUUUAAAGUUUUUCUUCCUCUUAUUUCUCCUGCUUUAGCAACCCUCCAUCAUCUGCCAGAGGAAUGGGAAGGAAUGAGGGCACUUAGUUUAUUCUUUUUAAAAGUUUUCCAAACCAAUUGGCUGGAUAUCGUCAGAAGAGUCACCUUUUCCCUGCUGCCUGACGGAAUCAACUAUUUACAACAAGCCCAGGCCAGCCAGAACUACUCGCGAAGAGCAUAUAGACUUACUGAAGUUGAAACUACAACAAAGCAAGAUUAUUCUAGAGACAUGAAGUCUGAGUUUUGGCUUCAGGAAAUAUCACUUUGAAAUUACUCUCUAGGUAGAAUUAAAUAAGAGUUUGAAAUAUGUAUUUAAAAUGAAUGAAGUUGCUAUAUACUCAAUAGAACUCAUUGCCAAAGGAUUUUAAAAACAUUUUGGUUACUGUUGUUUUAAAUGCUUUAAGAAUGUUUGAAACUGAAUUGUGGAACUACCUUAUAAUGAAGGCUUUAAAAGAACAUGGUCUUUCCCUGCUGUGAAAAUGUGAUUUUUAUUAUAAGUUGAUUAUGAGAAAGCUGUUAACUAGUGAUAUUUAACCUGUGUCUGACUGAAAAGAUAAAAUUACUUAACUGUCUGCCUAUAAAAAGAAAAUAAACUGUCAAUGCCAAAUUAUGAAUCA
rnacentral:lncRNA from 1 species